rnacentral:lncRNA from 1 species
AAACGACGCGACAUGUUCAUGCNGUUUUUCGUCCCUGGCAGGCAAAGUGCCUUCCAUAGGUACAGCUACAAGUACUGCAGCACUACGUGUAUGCAUCUCCAUUCUGAAAUGCUGGAAGAUGACUGAGAUUCUUGUUGUCGUGGAGGAACACACCGAGAUUUUGUGCUACCUUCGAUUUUAAUGAACCUGUCCGGAGCUGGCCUAUCUGCCAGUUUUUGCUCAUCUUUCUAUACCAUCUGAACUAGUGGUAGUGGUUCUGGUUCUGAGAGGUCAC